UACGUAGGGGGCGAGCGUUAUCCGGAUUCAUUGGGCGUAAAGCGCGCGUAGGCGGCCCGGCAGGCCGGGGGUCGAAGCGGGGGGCUCAACCCCCCGAAGCCCCCGGAACCUCCGCGGCUUGGGUCCGGUAGGGGAGGGUUGAACACCCGGUGUAGCGGUGGAAUGCGCAGAUAUCGGGUGGAACACCGGUGGCGAAGGCGGCCCUCUGGGCCGAGACCGACGCUGAGGCGCGAAAGCUGGGGGAGCGAACAGG
rnacentral:rRNA from 1 species